GAUGAACGCUGGCGGCGUGCCUAAUACAUGCAAGUCGAGCGAACGGACGAGAAGCUUGCUUUUCUGAUGUUAGCGGCGGACGCGGGAGUAACACGUGGAUAACCUACCUAUAAGACUGGGAUAACUUCGUGAAACCGGAGCUAAUACCGGAUAAUAUUUUGAACCGCAUGGUUCAAAAGUGAAAGACGGUCUUGCUGUCACUUAUACAUGGAUCCGCGCUGCAUUAGCUAGUUGGUAAGGUAACGGCUUACCAAGGCAACGAUGCAUAGCCGACCUGAGAGGGUGAUCGGCCACACUGGAACUGAGACACGGUCCAGACUCCUACGGGAGGCAGCAGUAGGGAAUCUUGCGCAAUGGGCGAAAGCCUGACGGAGCAACGCCGCGUGAGUGAUGAAGGUCUUCGGAUCGUAAAACUCUGUUAUCAGGGAAGAACAUAUGUGUAAGUAACUGUGCACAUAUUGACGUUACCUAAUCAGAAAGCCACGGCUAACUACGUG
rnacentral:rRNA from 1 species